AUCCCAUGGUGAGGGCAUUUACGCAACAAUAUCUUAAACCUCUCCAUUGCCUCGUACAAAGAUUCCCUUUCAUGUUGCUGAAAUCCGGUGAUGUCAUUUCUAAGCUU
rnacentral:snoRNA from 1 species